AGACGGAGCUCGCGGUGAGGAGGCAUGGAUGAACCCACUUAUGGGACUUAGCAAAAGCAAAGGCUCCUCAGGUAAACAGCACAAGUCGAAAACCUUUGUUAUUCCCCAAAUCAUCGUUACUCGAGCUUCCACCGACCUGGGUAUACCACCAGAGGAAGAAGGGCAAAAGACCAUAAGGGACAAGAUGGACUAUGGUCCCUACUACCGACACAGGAACCCCAGCACUGUUGACGCGUACACUAAAACCCAGCCUGAGGCUCCGAAACCCAAAUCAUUCCUGUAGUGGUCCUCUGAGACUCAAUGCCAUCUUCAAGAUGUGGUUAAAGCACUUUGGCCUCUUCUCUGGCAAGCAGGCUUGGCCUCACUUCUCCCAAUGCCACAUGCAGCUUGGAGGAAAGCAGGAAUGACUUUGGAAAGUGAACUAGGAAGCUUUGUUUAAAUAAAUAAAG
rnacentral:lncRNA from 1 species